rnacentral:rRNA from 1 species
UUGUUCGGAAUUACUGGGCGUAAAGGGCGCGUAGGCGGCGUGUCAAGGCAGGCGUGAAAGCCCCGGGCUCAACCUGGGAACCGCGCUUGAGACUGGCAUGCUCGAGUUCGGGAGAGGAUGGUGGAAUUCCCAGUGUAGAGGUGAAAUUCGUAGAUAUUGGGAAGAACACCGAUGGCGAAGGCAGCCAUCUGGACCGACACUGACGCUGAGGCGCGAAAGCGUGGGGAGCAAACAGG